rnacentral:rRNA from 1 species
CGGGGUGCAGCAGGCGCGAAAACUUUACAAUGCCGGCAACGGCGAUAAGGGAACCUCGAGUGCCAGGUUACAAAUCUGGCUGUCGUGAUGCCUAAAAAGCAUUGCAUAGCAAGGGCCGGGCAAGACCGGUGCCAGCCGCCGCGGUAACACCGGCGGCUCGAGUGGUAACCGUUAUUAUUGGGUCUAAAGGGUCUGUAGCCGGCCGGGUAAGUCUCUUGGGAAAUCUGGCAGCUUAACUGUCAGGCUUUCAGGAGAUACUGCCUGGCUCGAGGCCGGGAGAGGUGAGAGGUACUUCAAGGGUAGGGGUGAAAUCUUGUAAUCCUUGAAGGACCACCAGUGGCGAAGGCGUCUCACCAGAACGGACCUGACGGCAAGGGACGAAAGCUAGGGGCACGAACCGGAUUAGAUACCCGGGUAGUCCUAGCCGUAAACGAUACUCGCUAGGUGUCGGCCACGGUGCGACCGUGGUCGGUGCCGUAGGGAAGCCGUGAAGCGAGCCACCUGGGAAGUACGGCCGCAAGGCUGAAACUUAAAGGAAUUGGCGGGGGAGCACAAGGG